GGACUGGAAGGAAGAACAGGCGGUCUCACAGCCGGGUUCCGCCGGGGCGGAUGUGCAAACAGUCCGUUUCCUGCGGGUCCGUGCCUGCCAGCUCCCCCGCCCCUCCCCAUCACCGCCCGCCCCCACCCCGAGCAGGGCCUCGGAUGGUGACUCUCCUGGAACAUCAAGACCCUCGGUUCUCGGUUCUCAAGCCUAGCUGUGCAUCACAAACACCUGGACUGCUGAGCCACAACCACACCUAGUGAGCCGCACCCCAAGGCGGGCUGGUGACUAUUCAAUGACCCUGAUCUGUGAUGCCAGCAGAUUUCCACCGUCACUCCCACUGUGACUUGGAUAACUCCACGUAAUCAAGGUGACAUCAUCGAAGCGAUGCUAAUCAUCAACUCCAUCACACCACCGGCCCUUGUAUUUUUACCUCCUGCCAAGGUGGGGUCACCGACCUCUCCGCACAGUGACUGACUGCCAGGCGGCCGGGAGGAGGAACACAAAUGGACGCAAGACCCCUUCCUACCAAAAAAUGCUCCGUCAGCAACCUUCACAUCCCCGUCCGCCCUCCGGGGCCAGAGGCCAAGACGGGCACAGGGACCUUCGGCGGCCUUCCAAGAUGGCCAGCCUCCAGCUCUGGCCUCUCCCGCUGCGGGCCAGCUGCCAGGCGCCGGGGUAAAUACAGCAGGGAGCCCACCGCCCGAGAGUCUCCAUGGGGCAGAGCUGGGUGCUGACCGCCCAGGACCCAGAGUCACUACCUGCCCCCCUCAA